CACGGGGGCUUACAUGGCUGCCGCUCCCCUCGCCUGCGCGCUGCUUCCUGCUCCGACGGGCGCAAGGCAUCAUGGGACACGGAGUCCUGACUUUCUGCCUGUGCGCCGAGGCACGCUCCACACGCACACUCGCGUGAUGGCCGAUACCAGUCCGAAAGUCCACUCUUGAGGACCGACCGAUACCGAGUUCGGAAUGAUCCAGGAAACUCCAGUGAACGCACUGACGGCUCAUUGCGACCGAAAACCUUUCUUUCUUUCUGACGCAUGCGACGAUUCGUCGACGAGGAGAACUUACUCGACGUCGGCGUUCUGGCCUUAAGUAUCGGCGGCCGGUGUCGGCAUCCUUCACGAGCACCCGAUACAUUGAAAUGAGGCCGCUGUUGGCCCGAUACCGAUACCUGGUAUCCGUAUUCCACCGUCCUUAGUAAUGUUUUUUUUUAUUAUUAUUAUUAAUCUCACACUGAGAUCCAAUGGAAGUACUUCAUCGGUAAAUUGUCUUUUGAUUGACAAUUGGAGAUGCUUUCAAGUGUAACGUUUAAUCAAUAAAUGUAGAACGAGUUGAAAGGAGCACAUCUGCAAUGAAGUCACAAAUAAAUAAUAGCACCAUAAGUUGGAGUGGCAACACAACGUCGACGUGGCGGGAAGACGACAACAAAACAACGCGCGCAAAGAUGCCAAUCGUCAACCUUUUUCUGUCACAUUUACUUGUAUGCAAAUGUCCUUUUUUUGAAGCAGAGGAAAGUGAUGUCGUGUUGCUUAGAGUACACGGGGUGAUAUUUCCUUGACGCGUGCUUCGGUGGCUUGUAAUUCUACACUUGGCCUCCCAGGUGGCGCCACUUAAAGGGAAGUUUGCAAUUUUCA